CUAGACCGAUUCAAACCGGUCCAAGCUGGUUGGAACCGGUUUAGACUGGUUUGAACUGGUCCAAGCUGGUUUCUACCAGUCUCAACCUAUUCCAACUGGCUUGGACUGGUUCAAACCAGCUA